AGCGAACGCUGGCGGCGUGCCUAACACAUGCAAGUCGAACGGUUCUGUUGGGGGCUUGCUCUCGACAGAGUAGUGGCAAACGGGUGAGUAACACGUGGGUAAUCUUCCUUCGAGUGAGGAAUAACUUCGGGAAACCGGAGCUAAUACCGCAUAACAUCUUGGAACGGCAGUUCUAAGAUCAAAGGGGGCGCAAGCUCCCGCUUGAAGUUGAGCUCGCGUCCUAUCAGCUAGUUGGUGAGGUAAUGGCUCACCAAGGCUCCGACGGGUAGCCGGCCUGAGAGGGUGGCCGGCCACACUGGGACUGAGACACGGCCCAGACUCCUACGGGAGGCAGCAGUGGGGAAUAUUGCGCAAUGGACGAAAGUCUGACGCAGCGACGCCGCGUGGGUGAUGAAGGCCUUCGGGUCGUAAAGCUCUGUUUUAGGGGACGAAUGUCGAGAGCAGUAAUAUGGUUCUCGAAUGACGGUACCCUAAGAGGAAGCCCCGGCUAACUACGUGCCAGCACGG
rnacentral:rRNA from 1 species